UACGUAGGUGGCAAGCGUUUGUCCGGAUUUACUGGGCGUAAAGAGCGCGCAGGCGGUCGUGCAAGUCGUGUGUGAAAGCCCCCGGCUCAACUGGGGAGGGUCACGCGAUACUGCUCGACUCGAAGGCAGGAGAGGGAAGUGGAAUUCCCGGUGUAGUGGUGAAAUGCGUAGAUAUCGGGAGGAACACCAGUGGCGAAGGCGACUACCUGGCCUGUUCUUGACGCUGAGGCGCGAAAGCUAGGGGAGCAAACGGGGAUUAAGAA
rnacentral:rRNA from 1 species